rnacentral:lncRNA from 1 species
CCAGCUGAAGAAAAGAGAUUUACUUGAAACUCCAGGAUGGGGACAAUACUGAUGGCACCUUAUGGGAACUGGAGCUCCAUUACUUUCUAUAUUUCUUUGUUUCUGUUUCAUUACUAAGAAGAGCUUCCCUCUGUGCCAUUUAGUUGAAAUUCAAUAGAGAGGGUCUACGACUGGCCCAUUCGCCAAGCCACACCAUACAAGUCCAAGGCUGCUGAGGAGAUUGUGGAUUAGCUACUUAUAGAUCAGCUGUCCAGGCAUGGUCCAUUUAGCUAUGGGACAGAUAGGGCCCUGUCCUGUGAUACGGAAUAAGGGCCUUCAAGGCAUCCUUGAGAUGAAUAAGUCAAUGAAUGAAUAAAUAUCAAAGCAAUCUGGACAGGGCAGGCAAUAACAGGGAUCUCUAUCACAUCUGCUUUCUCUCCAUCAGCAAGCAGCAUUUUAUAAGAGCCUGUCUCCCCUGGAUCUCCCUUACACUCAACAUGUAAUCUGAAAAAUCCUUUCUGUGGCCUGCAUUUCUUUGCAAGACUCAGUUCAUUUGGAACAUUAGUGUUCUGACAGUUGUUUUUGUUUCCUUCUUUCUAGUUAUAUAUCAACCUUUCGAAAUCUAAACCCAAUGGCGUAUGUCAGUACAACCAGGCAGGUUUUUGGUAGGACUUCACUAUCAAGGUGGCAUUAUGACUCUUGUAAGCCCUAGGAACUUUUACUUUCAUAAGCCCCAUCCUCAAUUAAAAAAACAUUACGACUAUGUUGGUAUAAGGACAAAUAUAAUACAAAAUAGACAGA